UUAUGCUUUACCUUAUAUCCUUCCAUUUGAUUUUUAAAUAAUACCUGUGCUAAUUUCAUGAAAGAUGGCAGUUGUUUUUCAACAUUAAAAGUAAAUGUUUUAAGUGUGAUUUUGCUUUUAAACUCAGCAUCCCAGCCAUUCUCACUUUUAUGCAGUAUUUUGUUGUUGUUGUUGUUGUUGUUGUUGUUGUUAAUUCUGAAUAGUGUUUCUUCAAGUUUGACCCCUCAGUUCAAGCAGCACAGGGAGGUGACCUGAGAGCAUUUGAAGGUCUAGAAGGGAAAUGUAUGGCUGAACACCCAGAGUUGGGUGCAUGUUGGAGGGACUGGAAUGGGCUGUGGCAUUAUCAGAAGGUGACAUUGGAGUAGGUGGCAGGUCCUCUCUAUUUGUCUUGCCAGGUUCCCAUAACUGUGGACAGAGGGUAUGUGGUUUAGAGUGUGCAGAGAUCAUCGGGAAAGCUGUGCUUCCUGAAACCUUGGAGAUGAAGAAGAAGAAGAUUUAGUGGCCCCUAAGUUUCUGAGUCUGUCCUGGAGUCAUCAGCUUGGGGGCAGCGCAGGCUCUGUAGGGCUAAAUGGAGUCAGGGAGAAGCAGAGAGCAGAUGAGGGGGCUGAGUGUUCACAGCUUGGUAGUGGUGACAACUAAGGGUCUGGGAGGAUGGCAGCCUGAAAGUUGAGAAAUUCCUGAGUAGGAGUGUUUAAGUUUUCCCAAUGCAGAGAACUUUACCGAGGUCUAAAACUUGAUUAUCCUCAGGAGGGAAGAGUGAAAGUUUCUUCAGCUUUUCCUUGACUACAUCCCUAGUGUGUCUCUGAACCUGUGCAAAUGAUUCUCCAGUGUAUAACUAUCCUUGGGGAUGGAUAAGAUAGAAAAGGAAGGAGGCAGAGAGAAUGAGGGGGAGGGAGAUAGCUAGAUUCCUCUCAGCACUACUUCUGGACUUUUUCCUGAGCUCCUGGGUGUGGACAGUGUUCUUCACCAUGAGUGGAGACAGCAGGAGCUGCCCUUGUCUCCUAAGCAUGGCUGUUUACUAGCCGUGCGAGCCUGCAUGAUGCCUGAAGUGCAAUAGAACUUUCCAGUCCAGUCCGUUCCCUACAGGUGAGUGUCUUCCAGGUAUGCCCCUUGGUGAAGGAGAGAGUUACCAGAGCAUUAGCAGGGGGAGGGUCUAGGUUUGGCUGCCAGGUACAAUAAGGACACCUAGAGCCUGAAGAAUGGAUUAAGGUAGCUGCAGGUUAGAUGGCCCUCCAUCAAAUCAUCCCUCCAUAGCAGAGAGCAGCUUCAUGGUGCCCAGUGCUGGCGAUGAGCACACUCUCUGUCAUCACCUCCGUUCCUGUUCUCUCAUAUCUCUUCAUCUCUUCCUUUUAUCUGCUUGCCUUCUUGUGGGGAUCUCUGGGAAGAGAGAUUGCAGGUUGGCUUGGCAAUGCUUUAGAGAAAAGUGAAUGGAGGGAAAGGUAGAAAGGUUGGGUACUCUUUGUUUAUUCAUUGGUUUGACUUUAGCCUGUUAAUUGAUAAAGUCACUUAAAAAUAUUUAUAGAACACAUACUUUGUCAGACUCUGUUCUUGUCACAGGUGAUAAUACAAGAAAGCUAAAGAACUUGCUUCAAGUUACUUACUUCUAAUGUGGGAUUUUGAGGAUGAUAAACUAAUAAACAAUUAAACACAUAAUAUGGUUUGAGCUACUGAUGAGAGCCAAUAGAAUAAAAAUACAGCCUAACAAGGUUAGAGAGUGAAACUGUGCAGGUAGUGUUUUGAAGGGGAUGUGUGGGAAAGUGCUGUGGAGAGGAGAUAUUUGAGCAAAGACCUGCAUGUGGUGAGGGAAGAAGUCCAGACCUCCUGAAGAACUCAGUAUGAUUUAUAUUGAUGUCUUCUAACAUUUUCUUACCCUAGGGCUCUAGAGAAAAUAGAAGGUCGUAGAUAAGCAUAUGCACUCUUUGAGUUUUCCAAGUUGCUCUAUGGGACUGAGACCAUUGCAGUUCGGUUAGAGCGAUAGGCUGCCCAUUUCGAGGUUUUGUCUCUGUCUGGAACUAGACAUUUGAGACCGGGGGAAUAUGGAGGAUUUUGCCUCUAUAUCACCACUGUUUUCUUGUCUUCUGGUCCCAGGGUGGAGACUGCAGUACAGACAGGACUUCCUUCUGGCACCCGCCUCCCCAUUGUCAUCUACAGAACAGAGGAAUAAAAGAUCUCAGAGUUAGAGGUCACUAACAGGGAACUGGAGAGGCCCUUCCUGCCUGGAGGAUAUAUAUUCACGGAUAUGAGAAAUGGUGGAUGCCUUUCAUCCUGAGAAUAAGGAGGGAGAAGUUGAUAAUCCACACCACGGAGCCAGCUUCCAGAAGUCAGGAAAAGACUCAAUAUUUUGUCUCAAAACAGUUCUUAUGACAAUGUCCUAGAUAGGUCCCACUUGGUAACAACACUGCAGAGUUCUUAGUAUAAUUGAGGCAGAAACUUAAAAUGAAUAUAAUGCAAAUGGAACCUAUGUUAAAGGAUACAAACAAAAGAAGUAAUCAUGUCUUUGUGUGAUUGGCUAAGGUUGGGAUUCUUUGAACUGUUGAAAUAUAGCAGGAGUUUGCAGGACAUGGAUACAAGAGGCAGAGAAGACACUUUUGGGCACU
ensembl:lncRNA